rnacentral:ncRNA from 2 species
CGUUCACGAAGGCCGAAGUUUAGCGCGUAGAAUAGUCGCCUUGCGAAGCGCGGAAGCCGGUGAGAACCCGGCGCGGUCGCGCCACUGUAAUCGGCAAUGCAUCUAUAAGAGCCGAAAGCCAGACCUGAACUUCGCAACAUUCCUCU